rnacentral:rRNA from 1 species
CCUAAGACAUGCAAGUCGUACGAAGUGACCCUUUGAAGUGGAGUGCUUGCACAAAGCAGAUUAGGAUUUUCACUUAGUGGCGCAAGGGUGAGUAACACGUGGGUUAUCUGCCUUCGAGACUGGGAUAACAAUUGGAAACGAUUGCUAAUACCGGAUGAUAUAUAUAAUGUAAUGUUGUAUAGUAAAAGGAGCCUUUAAAGCUUCACUUGAAGAUGAGCCUGCGGCGCAUUAGCUAGUUGGUAAGGUAAUGGCUUACCAAGGCAACGAUGCGUAGCCGAACUGAGAGGUUGAUCGGCCACAUUGGGACUGAGACACGGCCCAAACUCCUACGGGAGACAGCAGUUAGGAAUAUUCGUCAAUGGGGGAAACCCUGAACGAGCAAUGCCGCGUGAAUGAUGACGGUCCUCUGGAUUGUAAAAUUCUGUUGUUGGGGAAGAAUUGUUAGUAUAGGAAAUGAUAUUAACUUGACGGUACCCUUCAAGAAAGCUCCGGCUAACUACGUGCC